rnacentral:rRNA from 1 species
GGAGUCUGGGCCGUGUCUCAGUCCCAGUGUGGCCGAUCACCCUCUCAGGUCGGCUAUGUAUCGUCGCCUUGGUGAGCCGUUACCUCACCAACUAGCUAAUACAACGCAGGUCCAUCUACUAGUGAAGCAAUUGCUCCUUUCAAGCAUCUAACAUGGGUUAAAUGCUGUUAUGCGGUAUUAGCUAUCGUUUCCAAUAGUUAUCCCCCGCUAGUAGGCAGGUUACCUACGCGUUACUCACCCGUUCGCAACUCUUCCAACUUUAGCAAGCUAAAGUCUUCAGCGUUCUACUUGCAUGUAUUAGGCACGCCGCCAGCGUCGUCCUCGAGCCACUGAUCAAACUACU